UUUUAUACAUACAUGGUGAAGAGGGAAUACUUGCAGUUAAAUUCUCUUUCAGGUUAAGCAUAUUUUUGGGUUGUUUUUUUUUUUUUUUCUUGAGACAGGGUCUCACUAUGUAGUUGAGACUGACCUGGAACUCACUAUGUAGCCCUUGCUGGUCUCGAACUCACAGCGAUCCUCCUGCCUCAGCCUCCCGAGUGCUGGGAUUACAGGCAUGUGCCACCACACCUGGCCUGAUUAAGCAUAUUUUUGUCAUUUGUGUUACCAAACUGCUGAGGGUUCUUUUGCUCAAUUCAGGUAGAAAUCACAAAUAGGCAGAGUUCAGCUCCCUAGUGUUAGCAGUUCUGAGCUUUGAAUGCCAGCAGCUCUCAGCUGUUGUGUUAGUGGCCCUUCUCCCUGAUCUCCUGGCAGCCAGAGCGAGCUGCUUACUGGCAACUCUCUAGAAGUUUUCUAGCAACUAGAGUUAGUAGCUCCUGGCAACCCUGUCACUGACCUUCAUCGCCACCCUCAGUGUUUCCAGCCCUCUUUCAGUGCCAGCAGCCUUUAGUGUUACCAGCUGUUAGGGUAACCAGCUCAGCGAGAUAAAAAUCAUGAACAGGAAAUAAAUUCUGUGACUGUGCUGAGCGUGCUAAGAGCUCCGGCUGGAGCACAGAUCUUCACUAUCUUCAGGGAGUCCGCACCAGAGAGAAAUCAUUCACAUGUGACUCGUGACACAGAGGCUUCAGUUACAACACCAAUCUGCACUCGCGAGAGCGUCCACACUGGAGAGAAAGCUUUUGUGUGUGAUGCACGUGGCAAAGGCUUCAGGUACAACCCCAGUCUCCAAAUUCAUGAGAAGAUCAUGCAGGGGAGGAGCCGGCGGAGUUCCCACCUUCACCUGAGGUCCACACGAGGGAAGCUGUUUGCAAUGAAAUUCUUGAAACACAAAUCUUGGCGCUCAUCAGGAAGUCCACACGGGAGAGAGACCGGUCACCGUGAGGAGAGUGAGGGCUUCCCUCAGAGCUCCGGUCUUCAGUCAUCAGGCCGCCCAACAAGUGGCGUGGGUGGUGAGGGCUCCAGCCACAGAUGUCUGAGUUACAGAAUAAGAACUCGUUAAAUGCCGUACUUGAGACAAGGGCUUCACUUACAGCAAAACCCUUCAUGUUCACAAGCAUCCACAUCGGGUGCAGAGGCUAAGUACGCUGGAGUCUUCGCAUCUUUCCACGUCGACACGGGAGAGAAGGCCGGCUAGUGUGGCGUGUGGUGUGUGGCGUGUGGCGAGAACGUCUCCUGGGGCACGCGGCGCCCCUUCUACCAACGAGCCUGUUACUCAAGACAGCUCCAUGAGAGUGUUUUGUUUUGCUUUCUUUUUCCGGUACCAGGAUCAAACUGGGAAGGCAGGCGCAGCUCCUCUGAGCUAAAUCUCUGGCCCACCUGUGAGUGUUUUGCCCGCCUGUGUCUUCAGCUCCUAACUCAGCACCUGGCACAGAGUGGCCGCUCCAUAGGUGUGGGUGAGGGUCCGCGUGUGAGAGAAUCCCCGUUCACGUGAUGUGCAUGGUAAGGGCUUCAGAGUCCACACCUUUCACUUCUUUUUUUUUUUUUUUUUUUUUUUAAAUAAAACACCUGCUGUGUAGUAAAGAUCUCAGUCAGAUCAGUUUUCAUCAUAAGUUUACCCUGAAGAAGAGAAGCCUUGUUAACAUAAUGAAUAGAGUAACGCACUUAAUCAGACAAAAAUGGUCAAAUUAUUAAAUCAGUAUAGUAAAUUUAAAAUAUGUAUCUUCAACACAAGGCAAUCCACAAUCCUUAACACUGUGCCAAUUAUAAAUGUAUUUUUGGUCUUCUAAAUUAAAGCAUGUAUCUAAUUACCAUCUAUGUUAAAAAAAAAAUCCUAUGAAUACCCUAAAUGAAAUUCUGUGUCAUCCCUGGAGUGACUAUCGUAACACAAGAUUGACUCAGUGAGAAUCUGGUAGUAGUAGCUAUUUUGUUUCAUACUUCAUCUCAAAAAGACACGUGAAGACUUGACAAAUGAGUUAUCUGUGACCAGUGACUAACAAGGUUUUCCUGCUGGGAAAGAGACCCUUUGCCUAGCAGAACGCCCUUUCAGGAUAAAAGCCUCCUGACCCUACGUUGUUGUUAUGUCACCAGGCUGCUGGAUGCGUCUCACAGGAGAUUGUAGAAGUCACCAGAUGAGGCGUGUGCAGGGUAAGUGUCCACGAAAGAGUUAGCUAAGGAAAGAGGCUGCAGCCAGGUCUAAGGAAGGAGCAGGGGAGAGAGAGCAAGUGUGAAGGGAAAUGAAUAGCGAGGAGAGAGAGCCCUGAGGAGCUGACUGGGCGGGUAGAAAGGACACGAGGGUGCUCGGAGGUCUCUGCAGACUCUCCCAGUGCAGGGCUGUCCCAGGAAGGCUGUGCUAACCAGAGUGUGGUCUGUGGUGAGCAGAGAUGAGCCCCACGCCUGUGAGGACCGUCGGAGACCAGAAACAAAGGAGCUGUGGUGGGGCCCCGGGUGGAGGCUGCCCGCUCCUGCAUUUCCCAGGUGGCCCAGGUCCGGGGGACGUUACCCCUCUGCAUUUAUCUGUGAUUGGCUUAUUUCACUGAGCAGAAUAUCCCCGGGUUUCAUCCGUGUUGUAGCAUGUGUCAGAAUUUCCUUUUUGCGGCUGAGUAAAAUUCCAUUUUAUGGAUACACAACGUUUUGCUUAUCCACUCAUCUGUCGACAGAUCCAAGGAUUGCUUCUACAUUUUAGUUCCUGGGAACCACUGUACCACGGACGCAGAUGUACCAACAUCUCUCCAGGACCCCACUUUUCAUUCUUUUGAGUAUACGCCUAGAAAGGGAACAGCUGGAUCCUAUUUUCAGUACUUUGAGGAGUCACUGUACCAUUUCCCGUGGUGGCUGUACCUCUUUGUGGUCAUUUCAGUUUCUCUCCAUCCUUGUAAUACUUGUCAUUUUCUGUUUUUAUUGCUUUGUCUAUUUGAGAUGGGUUCUUGCUGUGUUGUCUGGAUGGCCUUGAACUCCUGGGCUUAGUGCUCUGUCCAACCUUUGCUGCAGGUUGGACAUAUCAAAAUGGCCUAGACCACGUUGAGUGAAGAAUAAUUGUCUUGGGUUUCGUAUGAAAUACAUAAUGGUUGCUGUCUGUAAUUAACAGAACUUCUUCUUUAUAUUUUUAUUACAACAUUUUUAUUUAUUUAUUUUUGAGACAGGGUCUCACUAUGUAGUUGAGAGUAGUUGAGACAGACCUGGAACUCACUGUGUAGCCCAGGCUGAUCUCGAACUCACAGCGAUCCUCCUGCCUCAGCCUCCCGAGUGCUGGGAUUACAGGCGUGCACCACCACACCCGGCUGAUUACAACAUUUUUAAAAAGACAAGUGGCCCACAGGUUACAGGUCGC
ensembl:lincRNA